rnacentral:rRNA from 1 species
UGCAGUCGACGCUUCUUUUUCCACCGGAGCUUGCUCCACCGGAAAAGGAGGAGUGGCGAACGGGUGAGUAACACGUGGGUAACCUGCCCAUCAGAAGGGGAUAACACUUGGAAACAGGUGCUAAUACCGUAUAACAAUCGAAACCGCAUGGUUUUGAUUUGAAAGGCGCUUUCGGGUGUCGCUGAUGGAUGGACCCGCGGUGCAUUAGCUAGUUGGUGAGGUAACGGCUCACCAAGGCCACGAUGCAUAGCCGACCUGAGAGGGUGAUCGGCCACAUUGGGACUGAGACACGGCCCAAACUCCUACGGGAGGCAGCAGUAGGGAAUCUUCGGCAAUGGACGAAAGUCUGACCGAGCAACGCCGCGUGAGUGAAGAAGGUUUUCGGAUCGUAAAACUCUGUUGUUAGAGAAGAACAAGGAUGAGAGUAACUGUUCAUCCCUUGACGGUAUCUAACCAGAAAGCCACGGCUAACUACGUGCCAGCAGCCGCGGUAAUACGUAGGUGGCAAGCGUUGUCCGGAUUUAUUGGGCGUAAAGCGAGCGCAGGCGGUUUCUUAAGUCUGAUGUGAAAGCCCCCGGCUCAACCGGGGAGGGUCAUUGGAAACUGGGAGACUUGAGUGCAGAAGAGGAGAGUGGAAUUCAUGUGUAGCGGUGAAAUGCGUAGAUAUAUGGAGGACACCAGUGGCGAAGGCGGCUCUCUGGUCUGUACUGACGCUGAGCUCAAAGC